GAUGAACGCUGGCGGCGUGCCUAAUACAUGCAAGUCGAGCGCACAGACGAGGAGCUUGCUCCUCUGACGUUAGCGGCGGACGGGUGAGUAACGCGUGGAUAACCUACCUAUAAGACGGGGAUAACUUCGGGAAACCAGUGCUAAUACCGCAUAAUAUAUUUAACCACAUGGUUCAAGAGUGAAAGACGCUUUUGCUGUCACUUAUAGUUGUAUCCGGGUGUCAUUGGUUAGUUGGGAAGGUAACGGCGUACCAAGGCAACGAAGCUUGGCCGACCUGAAAGGGUGAUCGGCAAAACUGGAACUGAGACACGGUCAAGACUCCUACGGGAGGAAGAAGUGGGGAAUUUUGGGCAAGGGGGGAAAGCCUGACGGAGCACCGCGGGGUGGGUGAUGAAGGUCUCCGGAUGGUAAAACUCUUUUGUUGGGAAAGAACAAAGGUGGAAUUAAAUACGCAUGUAGUGACGGUAACUAAUCAGAAAGCCACGGCUAACUACGUG
rnacentral:rRNA from 1 species